UACGGAGGGUGCGAGCGUUGUUCGGAAUCAUUGGGCGUAAAGGGCGUCUAGGUGGCCAGUCAAGUCAGAUGUGAAAUGCCUCGGCUCAACCGAGGAAGUGCAUUUGAAACUGGCUGGCUCGAGUGUCGGAGGGGGCAGCGGAAUUCCCGGUGUAGAGGUGAAAUUCGUAGAUAUCGGGAGGAACACCAGCGGCGAAGGCGGCUGCCUGGCCGACUACUGACACUAAAGCGCGAAAGCGUGGGGAGCAAACAGG
rnacentral:rRNA from 1 species